AGUGAACGCUGGCGGUAGGCCUAACACAUGCAAGUCGAACGACAGCACAGGAGAGCUUGCUCUCUGGGUGGCGAGUGGCGGACGGGUGAGGAAUACAUCGGAAUCUACUUUUUCGUGGGGGAUAACGUAGGGAAACUUACGCUAAUACCGCAUACGACCUACGGGUGAAAGCAGGGGAUCUUCGGACCUUUCGCGAUUGAAUGAGCCGAUGUCGGAUUAGCUAGUUGGCGGGGUAAAGGCCCACCAAGGCGACGAUCCGUAGCUGGUCUGAGAGGAUGAUCAGCCACACUGGAACUGAGACACGGUCCAGACUCCUACGGGAGGCAGCAGUGGGGAAUAUUGGACAAUGGGCGCAAGCCUGAUCCAGCCAUACCGCGUGGGUGAAGAAGGCCUUCGGGUUGUAAAGCCCUUUUGUUGGGAAAGAAAUCCAGCUGGUUAAUACCCGGUUGGGAUGACGGUACCCAAAGAAUAAGCACCGGCUAACUUCGUGCCAGCAGCCGCGGUAA
rnacentral:rRNA from 1 species